AAUAGAUACCCGGGUAGUCCACGCCGUAAACGAUGAGUGCUAAGUGUUAGAGGGUUUCCGCCCUUUAGUGCUGAAGUUAACGCAUUAAGCACUCCGCCUGGGGAGUACGGCCGCAAGGCUGAAACUCAAAGGAAUUGACGGGGGCCCGCACAAGCGGUGGAGCAUGUGGUUUAAUUCGAAGCAACGCGAAGAACCUUACCAGGUCUUGACAUCCUCUGACAACCCUAGAGAUAGGGCUUCUCCUUCGGGAGCAGAGUGACAGGUGGUGCAUGGUUGUCGUCAGCUCGUGUCGUGAGAUGUUGGGUUAAGUCCCGCAACGAGCGCAACCCUUGAUCUUAGUUGCCAUCAUUAAGUUGGGCACUCUAAGGUGACUGCCGGUGACAAACCAGAGGAAGGUGGGGAUGACGUCAAAUCAUCAUGCCCCUUAUGACCUGGGCUACACACGUGCUACAAUGGACGGUACAAAGAGCUGCAAGACCGCGAGGUGGAGCUAAUCUACAUAAAACCGUUCUCAGUUCGGAUUGUAGGCUG
rnacentral:rRNA from 1 species